rnacentral:lncRNA from 12 species
AUGGGGCCUGAUGGAGGCCCCGACAUGCCUAUAGAAAUUGGCCUUUUAGGACCCGCAGGGGAGGGUACAGGGCCAUGUCCACAAGAACAGAAGUGUGACUUUCUCAGGACCUGCUGGAGGAUUCUAGAGCCAUUGGUCGGAUACACAGCGACUUCGGCAGGGACUACUCAAAAACACAGGGUAAGAGAGGACCACGCAGCUGACACAUCUAGGGAUCCCGGAAGAGGAGGAGAGGGCAUGGCCACCACUACCCAAUGUCCCAUGACAGGAGGUGACAGUGCACACGACACUGCCCAGGGUCCUGUGACAGGAGGUGACAGCGCGGAAGACACUGCCUGAUGUCCAGCAGGUGGAGGGACAAUGCGGCUGACAAUGUCUGGUGUUCCGGUAGAGGAGGGGACAUCAUGGCUGCCACUGACCAGUGUCCCCAGAGAGAAGGGGACAGCACGGCCGACACAGACUGGUGUCCCCAGAGAGGAAGAGAUAGCGUGGCCAACACUAACUGGUGUCCUGGAGAAUAGGGGACAGCAUGCCUGACACUGCCAGUGUCCAGGGAGAGGAGAGGAGAGCGCGUACGACACUGCCUGGGUUCCUGUUGAUGAGGGGACCAGACCCAAAACUGCCUGGGGUCCCAGGAAGGAAGGGGACAGUGCGGAUGAAACUGUUCGGGAUCCUGGGAGAGUAAGGGACAGCGGGGCCGACACUAUCUGGUGUUACAGGAGAGCAGGGGACAGUGUGGCCGACACUGCCCUGGGUCCCAGGAGGGGAGGGGACAGCGCAGGUGACACUGUCCAGGGUCCCAGGCGAAGAGGGGACAACAUGGCCAACACUGCCCAGGGUCCCAGAAGAGGAAGAGACAGUGUGGGCAGCACUGUCCGGGAUCCCAGGAGAGGAGGAAACAGCAUGGCCAACACUGCCCAAGUUCGUGAGAGAAAGGGACAGCAUGACCAACACUGUCUGGGGUCCCGGAAGUGGAGGGGACAGCACGGUGGACACUGCCCUGUGUCCCGGAGAGGAGGGACAGUGCGGCUGACACUACACAAGUGUCCGGGGCAGGAGGGGACAGUGUGGGUAACACUGACUGGUGUCCUUUAAAUGGAGGGGACAGCACGGCUGACAGUGACCACUGUUCUGGGACUGGAGUGGACAACACAGCAGACAUUGCCUUACGUCAUGGAGAGGAGGGGACAGUGUGACUGACAGUGAUUGGUAUCCCCGGAGAGGGGAGGAUAGCAUGAGUGAUACUGGUGUACCCAGAGAGGAUGGGACAGUGCAGCCAACACUGACUGGUGUCCCCUGUGAGGAGGAAACAGCGCGGCUGACACUGCCUGGUGUCUCA